rnacentral:rRNA from 1 species
UACGUAGGGUGCAAGCGUUGUCCGGAAUUAUUGGGCGUAAAGAGCUCGUAGGCGGUUUGUCGCGUCUGCUGUGAAAACCUAAGGCUCAACCUUGGGCUUGCAGUGGGUACGGGCAGGCUAGAGUGCGGUAGGGGUGACUGGAAUUCCUGGUGUAGCGGUGGAAUGCGCAGAUAUCAGGAGGAACACCGAUGGCGAAGGCAGGUCACUGGGCCGCAACUGACGCUGAGGAGCGAAAGCAUGGGGAGCGAACAGG